GAACUUUUAAGAAUCACUGUAAGAAUUGUAUAUUUCAUUAUGAAGAUCGAUAGUUUAAAGUUUUUUAGGAUAAUUUUUAUUGAAUUACUUGAUCGUUUACCUAUAUAAACAUCAUCGUUUAACAGUAUACAUAUGAUCGUUUUGCUAUAUGAACACGAAAAUUUUCAAUAUUUUGUAUGAUCAGCGUCUUUAAACGAUCGUGUAUCAAAAUAAAUAUGAUUAUUUUAACAAUCAACGUUUUUAAACGAUCGCGUAUCAAAUUCAAUAUGAUUGUUUAAACGGUCAGCGCCUUUAAACGAUUGUGUAUCAAAUUCAAUACGAUGAUUUAUACGAUUAGUGUCUUUAAACGAUAGUGUAUCAAAUUGAAUACUAUGGUUUAAACGAUCAGUGUCUUUAAACGAUCGUCUAUAGCUUAUUCUAUACAAUGAUUUAAUUUAUUAUAUACGAUCGUCUAUUGGUGUUGAACGAUCCUUUAGUAUUUAUUAACUUCUUUGCACGAUCAUUUAGUAUUCUCUUAUUAAAUAUAAAUACUUAAUUAUAUUUUCUUCUUUUUCAAAUUAGAAUGUCUAUUCCUAUUGUUGUUUUUUAUGGUUGUCAAUGGAAUUACUGCAAUGUUUAUGAGAAUUACUUUAUGUCCGAAAUUUUGGUAGAUAUGCGAGUCAGCUUUAAUUCUUUAGUUGCUUUGAUGUGUGAACAACUUGAAUUGGAUGAAUCAGUAGAAUUAUCUAUUUUACUUGAUUUUGGUAAAAGUAAUGUUCAAACUGUGGUGUCAAUAAAGAAGGAUAAUGAUGCAACUAGCAGACAUCCAUUAGUUGCCCAUGUAAGUGUUAAUUGUUUAGGAAUGUCUUCUUCAUCUAGUAGUGUACGUGAGUAUGUUGAUAUGUCACUGAAUAUAGGUUUUUCUUCUUCUGUUUCAAAUGAUGAAGUUAUAAGAGACAUUUCUUAUUAUUCUGAUUUGAUGGAAAAAGUUUAUUUGAAAGUAAAGAAGUGCAUUCAAAGUGUUUUUGCAUAAUAGUAGUGAAGAACAACUUUCAAUUUAGGACUACAGUAUCAAAUUUGAGGUUUCUUGAAUUUAGAUGUCUGCAAGAAGGCUGCAAAUGGUAUGUAAGGGCAUCUCGUUAUAAGAAGAGUGAUUUAUGGAUGCUACGAAAAUACACUUCUGACCAUGAUUGUUCUUUGAGUACUGCCCAAAGUUCUCACAUGCAAGUUUCUUCAACAGUAAUUGGUAAUUGUUUGAUAGACGAUUUUAUAUUCAUGUCUACUGAUCGUUCCAUUACUAAAGAGAUUGUGCACAAGGCUCGUACAAAUCUUGGAGUUAAUAUAAGUUAUCAGAAAGCUUGGAGGGCAAAAGAACAUAUGGUAAAGAUACUACAUGGUGACACAGUUGAAUCAUAUGCCUUGAUUUCAAGAUUCUUUGAUAAAUUGGUUGAAUCUAACCCAGGUACAUGCACUGCUUGAGAAAUGGAUGAUAGUGGUCAUUUCAAAUUUUGCUUUAUGGCUUUUGGGGCAUCAAUUGAGGGGUGAAAAUAUUGUAGACCUAUUAUUUCUGUUGAUGGGACAUUUUUUAAGUGUAACUUUUGGUGGCAUCCUAUUAACAGCCUCAUCACAAGAUGGGAUGUAUUGCAAAAGUGGUUUUAUGAACGAAGUAAAGCUGCUUCUAGAAGAAAGAGUCAUUUGACUUUUUGGGCUAAGAACGUUCUGCGUUUGGAAAAUGAAAAGUUGAGAAGAUUACUGAACUACUAGCAAAGAGUAUAUUAUCUCAAUGGAUACCGAAAACAUUUUGAGAUCAAGUUAGUUCUUACAUUGGAAAACUGAGAUUCUCACAGCAAUCUUUACUUGGUUACUUCCAAUGCCUACUGAUUCUUCUUGACUCCACUGACUUGGUUCUUGGUACCAUUGCUACGAAAGAAAGCAAGAAUGAGGUAUGUAAUGGGGGAUUAUUUGGAAGAUAGAGCUUCUAUUAUUGAAGAUAAAGUGAUGGAUGCUGAAGGUAAGGAAGACAUAUUGGUUGUCAUACUCGUAGAAUGAGUUUUAGUUUUAGCUUCUUUGUCAAAGUUCUAACCUCUCCCUUUAUGUUAGGGUGACAACUAAUCAUUCCUGGUUUGCAAGAAAAAUCCUUACUUUGGUCAUGUUUCUUUGGUAAAUUUAAUUUUUUCACGUCCGAAGGUAGACAAGUUCAAUUAACACUUGGAAGUAUGCUUUGUAAGAAGUUUCAUGUUGGGGUUUUAAGAGUAAUUUGCUUCAUCAAUGGUUUCUUAUGUGUCAAUUAUGAGGAAUCCUAUUUGCCCACCAAGUGUUUGUUUAUUUGCCUUGGUUUGAUGCAAUGUAUCAAUCAACUUGCUCUUUGCUUUAGGUUUAUAUGAUAUCUUUUGGUCGUGUUGGUUCAUUUGCAACACUUAAUGGUAGGUUAUUGCCCUUGCAAUCAUAAAUUUUAUUUUGAAGAAACAUUUAUUUUUAUUGUGAUAUUUUGCUUGGAGAGUUUGUGUACUUUUUUGAAGAAGGAUUUGAUUGAGUUUGUGUAAUAUUUUUCUUCAGGGGGAGGGGUGAAAAAUUGAUUACUAGGUGCGGAUGAAAUGAAACCUUUCAGGAAUAUACUAUAGUAGAAAAUUUAUAUUUAAGCACUGUGUAUUUUGUCUUCUGGCCAGUCAUUUGGGACCUCCAAAAAGACAAACAACUAAAGAGGAAGAAGAGAAAGGGAAACAUCCAAAUUUUGAGGAAUUGCAAGACAGUUAGCAUUGUCAGGUUAUGGAGUAUUUUCUAUGGAUUAUCCAGGAUUUGGUCUUUCAAGUCUCCAUGGUUUUAUACCAAGGUUUGAUAGAAUUGUGGAUGACGUCCUUGAACGUUACUCCAAAGUGAAAGGUUUAUAUGUCAAACUUGAGGAGCCAUAAUGUAAAAUGAAGGAAACAAAUUGUAAUCGGGUUUCUUUAUUGAUUUGCAGGGGUCAAUUUCAAUUAGUGAAUGGAAUUGAGUCUUAACCAGAGGACUAAUGAACCAACGAUGACAGUUAGCUCAUAUAAUCUUGUACACUUAUGAUGAACUUUAUAUUUUGAGGGUUAAUUUCUGUGGUUGAUACAUUUACUAAUUUAUGUAUUUUGAGGGUUAAUUUA